AUAUCUCCCUCUCCAUAACAGCGCCACCCACAGAUCCUCCCCAUAACAGUGCCAUCCAAAAUUUGUUUUAAUAUGGCCUUUGAACAUAAUUUUUCAAGUAAAAUCAUAUAAACCGCUUUGUUUUGUAAUUUUGUCGUUUUUCCAGAUUAAUCGUAGAAAUUAAUCGGCAACUAAUCGAUUAUUCAAAUAAUCGUUAGCUGCAGCCCUAAGGGAUUCUAAAUUUC